UACAGAGGGUGCGAGCGUUGUCCGGAAUCACUGGGCGUAAAGGGCGCGUAGGCGGCGCGGUAAGCGUGCGGUGAAAGCCCGGGGCUCAACCCCGGGUCGGCCGUGCGGACUGCCGGGCUGGAGCACUGUAGAGGCAGGUGGAAUUCCGGGUGUAGCGGUGAAAUGCGUAGAUAUCUGGAGGAACACCGGUGGCGAAGGCGGUUCUCUGGGCCUUACCUGACGCUGAGGAGCGAAAGCGUGGGGAGCGAACAGG
rnacentral:rRNA from 1 species